rnacentral:rRNA from 1 species
UACGUAGGGUGCGAGCGUUGUCCGGAAUUAUUGGGCGUAAAGAGCUUGUAGGCGGUUUGUCGCGUCUGCUGUGAAAUCUCAAGGCUCAACCUUGAGCUUGCAUUGGAUACUGGCAGGCUAGAGUGCGGUAGAGGAUGGCGGAAUUCCCGGUGUAGCAGUGAAAUGCGUAGAGAUCGGGAGGAACAUCUGUGGCGAAGGCGGCCAUCUGGACCAGCACUGACACUGAGGCACGGAAAGCGUGGGGAGCAAACAGG